rnacentral:lncRNA from 1 species
UCUCUUUUUGAAGCAAACUUAUUAAGCCUGUGUUUGUUUUUUUUUUCUUUCCAGUGUGAAAUCAGAGUUUCUCAUUGCUAUGUUGCUGACAGAAUCACAGCAGAAAGGUCUCCAAAUUGCCUGAUGGGCUGUAGAUUGAUUUCUGUACCAAAGGUACAUUUGCUCAUUUACAACCAUUCUCAGCAUUUUCAAAAAGGAAUGCCUAAAGGUAAGCAGUAAAGUCAAGCACCCAGGUAGAACUAGUUGGUUUUAAUUCCCUAGAAUAGAUCAUGUCCUCUUCAAGGCAAUGUAUUUUUAUAUUAAGUAAGUUGUAAAUUGAAGACUUUUACUUUCAGUUACCCAGAUUUAAAUAAUAUUUGAGAGAUAAACUUUUCCCAGUUUUG